rnacentral:rRNA from 1 species
UGACCUCAAAUCAGGUAGGACUACCCGCUGAACUUAAGCAUAUCAAUAAGCGGAGGAAAAGAAACUAACAAGGAUUCCCCUAGUAACUGCGAGUGAAGAGGGAAAAGCUCAAAUUUAAAAUCUGGCAGCUUCGCUGUCCGAGUGUAAUAGAGAACGAACCCCGGG